AGUGAACGCUGGCGGCGUGCUUAACACAUGCAAGUCGAACGAGAACGGAUUAUAGCUUGCUAUAAUUGUCAGCUAAGUGGCGCACGGGUGAGUAAUGUAUAGGUAAUAUGCCUCUUACUAAGGGAUAACAAAUGGAAACGUUUGCUAAUACCUUAUACUCCUUAUUAACAGAAGUUAAUAAGGGAAAGAUUUAUUGGUAAGAGAUUAGCCUGUAUUGUAUCAGUUAGUUGGUUGGGGUAAUGGCCUACCAAGACUAUGACACAUAACUGGUUUUAGGGGAUGAUCAGUCACACUGGAACUGAGACACGGUCCAGACUCGUACGGGAGGCAGCAGUGGGAAAUAUUGCACAAUGGACAAAAGUCUGAUGCAGCAACGCCGCGUGGAGGAUGACACAUUUCGGUGCGUAAACUCCUUUUAUAUGAGAAGAUAAUGACGGUAUUAUAUGAAUAAGCACCGGCUAACUCCGUGCUAGCCGCCGCCGUAA
rnacentral:rRNA from 1 species